UACAGAGGGUGCGAGCGUUGUUCGGAAUUACUGGGCGUAAAGCGCGCGCAGGCGGCCUUUUAAGUCUGCUGGUGAAAUGCCGGGGCUCAACCCCGUGCCCGCCACAGAUACUGGGAGGCUGGAGACGAGUAGAGGCAAGCGGAAUUCCGGGUGUAGCGGUGGAAUGCGUAGAGAUCCGGAAGAACACCGGAGGCGAAGGCGGCUUGCUGGGCUCGGUCUGACGCUGAGGCGCGAAAGCGUGGGGAGCAAACAGG
rnacentral:rRNA from 1 species